GUUGAACGCUGGCGGCAGGCCUAAUACAUGCAAGUCGAACGAGAGGCGGACGGGCGAGUAAUGGCUGAGCAACUGCCUGACGGAGGGGGAUAACUACUGUAACCGGUAGCAACAACUGCUAACCAUGCGAUCUGCCCUAGUGGGAUUAGCUAGUCGGGGGGGUAACGGCUCACCUAGGCGACGAUCCAUAGCUGGUCUGAGAGGAUGAGCAGCCACCCUGGGACUGAGACACGGUCCAGACUCCUACGGGAGGCAGCAGUAGGGAAUAUUGCACAAUGGACGCAAGCCUGAUGCAGCCAUGCCGCGUGUAUGAAGAAGGCCUUCGGGUUGUAAAGUACUUUUGUCGGGGAGGCGGUACUCGCAGAGGAAGCCACGGCUAACUCCGUGCCAGCAGCCGCGGUAAUAC
rnacentral:rRNA from 1 species